CGCAGCCGCGGUAAUUCCAGCUCCAAUAGCGUAUAUUAAAGUUGUUGCAGUUAAAAAGCUCGUAGUUGAAUUUCGGGAUUGACACAUCGGUCGUGCCUUAAGGGGUAUGAACUGGUGUAGUCAAUUUCUCACCUUCUGGAGAACCGCAAUGCCCUUAAUUGGGUGUCGCGGGGAACCAGGACCUUUACUUUGAAAAAAUUAGAGUGUUUAAAGCAGGCAUUUUGCUUGAAUACAUUAGCAUGGAAUAAUAAAAUAGGACGGCAUGAUUCUAUUUUGUUGGUUUCUAGGAUCACCGUAAUGAUUAAUAGGGAUAGUUGGGGGCAUUAGUAUUCAAUUGUCAGAGGUGAAAUUCUUGGAUUUAUUGAAGACUAACUACUGCGAAAGCAUUUGCCAAGGAUGUUUUCAUUAAUCAAGAACGAAAGUUAGGGGAUCGAAGACGAUCAGAUACCGUCGUAGUCUUAACCAUAAACUAUGCCGACUAGGAAUCAGACGAUGUUAAUUUUUUAAUGACUCGUUUGGU
rnacentral:rRNA from 1 species